GACGAACGCUGGCGGCGUGCUUAACACAUGCAAGUCGAACGGAAAGGCCCUGCUUUUGUGGGGUGCUCGAGUGGCGAACGGGUGAGUAACACGUGAGUAACCUGCCCUUGACUUUGGGAUAACUUCAGGAAACUGGGGCUAAUACCGGAUAGGAGCUCCUGCUGCAUGGUGGGGGUUGGAAAGUUUCGGCGGUUGGGGAUGGACUCGCGGCUUAUCAGCUUGUUGGUGGGGUAGUGGCUUACCAAGGCUUUGACGGGUAGCCGGCCUGAGAGGGUGACCGGCCACAUUGGGACUGCGAUACGGCCCAGACUCCUACGUGAGGCAGCAGUGGGGAAUAUUGCACAAUGGGCGGAAGCCUGAUGCAGCAACGCCGCGUGCGGGAUGACGGCCUUCGGGUUGUAAACCGCUUUCGCCUGUGACGAAGCGUGAGUGACGGUAAUGGGUAAAGAAGCACCGGCUAACUACGUG
rnacentral:rRNA from 1 species